AUUGAACGCUGGCGGCAUGCCUUACACAUGCAAGUCGAACGGCAGCAUAGGAGCUUGCUCCUGAUGGCGAGUGGCGAACGGGUGAGUAAUAUAUCGGAACGUGCCCUAGAGUGGGGCAUAACUAGUCGAAAGACUAGCUAAUACCGCAUACGAUCUACGGAUGAAAGUGGGGGAUCGCAAGACCUCAUGCUCCUGGAGCGGCCGAUAUCUGAUUAGCUAGUUGGUGGGGUAAAAGCCUACCAAGGCAACGAUCAGUAGCUGGUCUGAGAGGACGACCAGCCAAGCUGGGACUGAGACACGGCCCAGACUCCUACGGGAGGCAGCAGUGGGGAAUUUUGGACAAUGGGGGCAACCCUGAUCCAGCAAUGCCGCGUGAGUGAAGAAGGCCUUCGGGUUGUAAAGCUCUUUUGUCAGGGAAGAAACGGUAGUAGCGAAUAACUACUACUAAUGACGGUACCUGAAGAAUAAGCACCGGCUAACUACGUGCCAGCCGCCGCGGUAA
rnacentral:rRNA from 1 species